CACGUAGGGCGCAAGCGUUGUCCGGAAUUAUUGGGCGUAAAGAGCUCGUAGGCGGUCCGUCACGUCCGCUGUGAAAACCCAGGGCUCAACCCUGGGCUUGCAGUGGAUACGGGCAGACUAGAGGUAGGUAGGGGAGAAUGGAAUUCCCGGUGUAGCGGUGAAAUGCGCAGAUAUCAGGAGGAACACCAAUGGCGAAGGCAGCACUCUGGGACGUGACUGACGCUGAGACGCGAAAGCGUGGGGAGCAAACAGG
rnacentral:rRNA from 1 species